rnacentral:rRNA from 1 species
GACAGAGGUGCCAAGCGUUAGGCGGAAUCACUGGGCUUAAAGCGUGUGUAGGCGGAAUGGUAAGUACCUUGUGAAAUCCCACGGCUCAACCGUGGAACUGCUGGGUAUACUGCUUUUCUUGAGCCACUUAGGGGCUGUCGGAACAAACGGUGGAGCGGUGAAAUGCGUAGAUAUCAGGAGGAACACCGGUGGCGAAGGCGGUUCUCUGGGCCUUACCUGACACUGAGGAGCGAAAGCGUGGGGAGCGAACAGG